CCUACGGGAGGCAGCAGUGGGGAAUUUUGGACAAUGGGAGGCAACCCUGAUCCAGCAAUGCCGCGUGUGUGAAGAAGGCCUUCGGGUUGUAAAGCACUUUUGUCCGGAAAGAAAUCGCGCUGGUUAAUACCUGGCGUGGAUGACGGUACCGGAAGAAUAAGCACCGGCUAACUACGUGCCAGCAGCCGCGGUAAUACGUAGGGUGCGAGCGUUAAUCGGAAUUACUGGGCGUAAAGCGUGCGCAGGCGGUUUUGUAAGACAGGCGUGAAAUCCCCGGGCUUAACCUGGGAAUUGCGCUUGUGACUGCAAGGCUAGAGUGCGUCAGAGGGGGGUAGAAUUCCACGUGUAGCAGUGAAAUGCGUAGAGAUGUGGAGGAAUACCGAUGGCGAAGGCAGCCCCCUGGGACGUGACUGACGCUCAUGCACGAAAGCGUGGGGAGCAAACAGGAUUAGAUACCCUGGUAGUCCACGCCCUAAACGAUGUCAACUAGUUGUUGGGGAUUCAUUUUCUCAGUAACGUAGCUAACGCGUGAAGUUGACCGCCUGGGGAGUACGGUCGCAAGAUUAAAACUCAA
rnacentral:rRNA from 1 species